GACGAACGCUGGCGGCGUGCUUAACACAUGCAAGUCGAACGGAAAGGCCCUGCUUUUGUGGGGUGCUCGAGUGGCGAACGGGUGAGUAACACGGGAGUAACCUGCCCUUGACUUUGGGAUAACUUCAGGAAACUGGGGCUAAUACCGGAUAGGAGCUCCUGCUGCAUGGUGGGGGUUGGAAAGUUUCGGCGGUUGGGGAUGGACUCGCGGCUUAUCAGCUUGUUGGUGGGGUAGUGGCUUACCAAGGCUUUGACGGGUAGCCGGCCUGAGAGGGUGACCGGCCACCUUGGGCCUGCGGUACGGCCCAGUCUCCUACGGGAGGCAGCAGUGGGGAAUAUUGCACAGUGGGCGGAAGCCUGAUGCAGCAGCGCCGCGUUCGGGAUGCCCGCCUUCGGGUUGUAAACCGCUUUCGCCUGUGACGACGCGUUAGUGACGGUAAUGGGUAAAGAAGCACCGGCUAACUACGUG
rnacentral:rRNA from 1 species